AUUGAACGCUGGCGGCAGGCCCAACACAUGCAAGUCGAACGGUAGCACAGAGAGCUUGCUCUCGGGUGACGAGUGGCGGACGGGUGAGUGAUGUCUGGGAAACUGCCCGAUGGAGGGGGCUAACUACUGGAAACGGUAGCUAAUACCGCAUAACGUCGCAAGACAAAAGUGGGGGACCUUCGGGCCUCACACCAUCUGAUGUGCCCAGAGGGGAUUCGCUAGUAGGUGGGGUAAUGGCUCACCUAGGCGACGCUCCCUAGCUGGUCUGAGAGGAUGACCAGCCACACUGGAACUGAGACACGGUCCAGACUCCUACGGGAGGCAGCAGUGGGGAAUAUUGCACAAUGGGCGCAAGCCUGAUGCAGCCAUGCCGCGUGUAUGAAGAAGGCCUUCGGGUUGUAAAGUACUUUCAGCGGGGAGGAAGGCGGUGAAGUUAAUAGCUUCACCGAUUGACGUUACCCGCAGAAGAAGCACCGGCUAACUCCGUGCCAGCCGCCGCUGUAA
rnacentral:rRNA from 1 species